rnacentral:lncRNA from 1 species
CUGAAGUGUUUACUUUGAGGAGGGCCCUGGUUGGUUUAGUUUACCCACCCAGUGUCAUGCAGCCGAGAACCCGGCCUGCAGAGAGAAAGUUACUUGUCCCAGCUCACCCAGCUGGUGAAGUCACUGGGGCCUGGGUCUGCCCCCAUGCCCCUGCAGGAGGUGCCCACCCCAUGCUGUGUUGACCAGCGUAUGGAGCACCUGUGUGGCUUCCAGGAUGCUGUCUGACUGAGGGCGCCUCUCUGAGUGCCUGUUGGCGUAUGCUUCCUGUCGCCAGCACCCCCGGACAGGCCUCGCUGGAAUCCUGCGGUGACAGAACAAGGAGCCUCAUUCCAUUCCUCUUGAAGAAAAAAGAAAGAAAAAAGAAAAUACCUGCAGGGAAUUUCUGUGCAAGUGGGAACAGGGAGGUGGAGGUGGCGGGAGCCAUCAUGGCCUUAAAAGGCACGACAGAGCCAGUGACUUUGCUGAGCUCACGGGGGACGGCCUCGGCGGGUGGAGGGGUGGGCAGCCAGCUGCCACCUCAUGAGCUCCCCCCAAAGUGCUCUCCCCCCGGAUCCUCGCUGACAGCCUCGCCAGGGGGGCUGCGCUGUGGGCUCUCUGUCCUCCGCCCGCGACCCGCCCCCGCCCCCAGGUGCCCAGCCUCCUGCUUCCAGCCUCACCCUCCUGUCGGCGCCCAGCGUGCAGCUGCUUGUCUGAGGCUCCCAUGGGUCCCCCACCCUCCAGGCGACAUCCUGCCGCCCAGGCUGGCACUCAGGGCCUGCCGACCUCUCCAGCGUUGUGUCUCGCCCAGGCCCAGCUUCCUGACCCGAGACUCCUGGCCCUCUCUCCGAGGAGCAUGGCCUGCCCUGACCUCACUGGAGGCCGGAGAGUGACGUCCACGGGCCCAGCAGGAGGAUGGCAGCAUCCAGGAACCUUCCAGGGCCCGUUAGCACAUCAGAACUCAAAGUAUGAGAUUGUCACCAGGUCCUUGGCAUUCAUUAGCCCCCUGGAUGCCCCCACACAGCACUGCCCAGCGCCCAGCCUCCUGGGCCCCCCACCCACAACGCCCAGCCCCCACUCUGACAUCGAAGGCCUCUGGAGGGCAGUGCCUGGGCGGCAGGUGGUGAUGGCUGUGAACACCUUACCCCUGCCAGGCGCCGUCCUCAGUACUUUGUAUAUAUAAACUCCAUCUUAGGUCACCCCUUGGAGCAGAUUCUCCUGUUACCCCAUUUUACAGAGGAGAAACUGAGGCUCAGAGAGGUUGAGUAACUUGCCCAAGGGCACACAGAGUGUCUAGCUAGUAGGGCUGGGAUUUGAGCCUAGGCAUCUCUUCGCCCUGACCCUCUGCUCCCAGGGGCCUGUAACACAUAUUUUGGCUCGAGGGCGAAGAAGUAGGGUACUCGAGCAUGUUCUGUAAGCCAAGCCUUGUGCUGGAUGCUGGCAGAGUUACCUUAAUCCUUACAACCACUAUUCCCACUUCACAGACGGGGAACAUGGGGGCCCAGAGAGAUUUAGAGAACCCUGCGAGGUCGCAGGGCUGGAACAUGCUCCUCCAGGCGGGUCUCACUGGAUCAUGAGUCGGUGCCCCUGUUCUCACUCCUGCUUUUAAUGAGGAAAUUGAGGCACGGAGAGGGUCAGCACGGGCCCCUCAGGUCAGACUCUCAGGAGCGGUAAAGCAGGGAUUCAGACCCAGUAGCUCAGCACUAACCACUGCACCGCACGGCCCCUGCUGAGUAGGGGCCUGGAGGCUCCUGUGAGGAAUGGGAGGGGCACCAGCAGCCACUGUGGCACCAGUGUUCCUUUGCCCCCCGCCUCUGGUGGGCUCACACCCUGGGCCCUGCCUGUCUGAUCCAUGGGGGCGGCAAGGAUGCUGCCAGCCGACAGGUGGGGUGGAGAAGCCAGUACCGCAACCAGCCCCGCCCUCCUGAGGUCCUGGCCCCACAGCUGGUCCCAGGCCACCGGCUUCAUGUAACUAUGGAGAAGUGGCGCCUCCCGGCCCGCUCUCCGCCUGAGCCCCAUGCAGCCAGGCAGAGGAAAAGGGCUGUGAGAGAAUGCCCUAAAGAUAACCACUUGCCGACUUCCCCAUCCUCCCUGGUCACCACCUUGUCCCCAUGGCGCCCCCAGCAGGCCCCGCCCCGGGUCAGGCCACUCCUCAGAGCAGGGGCGCAACACAGGGACCCAGGCAAUGGUUCACCGUGGGAAGACUCUGCACCCUCCUGGCCCCAGCCAGACAGGGCUGUACCUCAUCUGCUCAUGUGGUCCCCUCAACAGGGGACAGGAGCAUCACUACCACCCCCACUCCAUGGGCAGGGGCCCGAGCAGAUGGGGCACCAGCUCCCACGAGCACACGGGCCCGUUCACACGCUAGUGCCAGGAACACACCUCGAUACUGACACAACCACACCAUUUCCAUCACGGCUGGGGCCUGUGAGCACACUCGCGUGGCAACCUGAAGGCCCAUUAGGACACCACCACUGUGCCGUCACAUUAGUCUCUGAGUCCACCUGCACGCACGAGGAAGCAUCUACACCAGGGAAAUCGGUCAACGUGCACACCAGGGCCUUCCUUCUGGAGAGCUGGCUGUUAACCAGUUACCAGCACACCACUGGCCUCAACCUCCGCGUCUCCUGCUGGCCACUCCCCACGGCUGAACCCACCGGAAGCCGGCAGGAGUGGGGUUGGUGCAGGCCCUAGAGGUCAGCAUCCUGGGGCACGGAGCAGGGGUGGCAGGGCGGAUGAGGCCCUGGAGGGACAGCCCACACAAUGCCUGGCUCUUUGCUCUGCUCCCUCGGGGCCGGGUGCUAUCCUGAACACGUCACAGAUACACUCCAUCAAAGACGGGGCUCCCCAGAUCAGAAGCUUCCCAUGGCGCCGCAUCACACGUCCAUUUGUUCCUGGAUCCAAACGUUUCUUAAGCACUUCUUGCGCAUCAGGCAUCUUGGUGUGGCUUCCAAGGCUCCUCACAGUCUGGCCCUGGUCUGCCUACUGGCUCGUCACAGGAUACUGGGCCACGGACGUGGGGACCACCAGAGUUGUCCCGCCCAGGUUUCCUGGCUGUGCCUCGGUGGCCCCAGUGCAGUGCGUGAGAAAGCCGGGCAGGGCUGGAUCCUGGCACUGUCUCACCACCUCUGAGGGCUGGGAUGAGGGUUCUACGGGAUCCUGUAUGGGAUGGGUCCUGGCACGGAGUCAUCGCUCGUCUGCCCCACACUCCCCAUCAGUAAAUAGGUACUGAGUGUGUGGACAGCCCUAUGAGAAGGCAACAUUACUUCCAUUUCACAGGUGGCAAAACAGGCCUCAGAGAGGGCAGCCGACUUGCCCAGGGUCACACACCCAGCACAUGGCUCAGCCUGGCUUGGCACCCAAUGCCCCCUAAGCCAGGGCCGGCAAUAGCUAUGUUUGGUUUGGCCCUCAGAGUUGCAAAAAUAAAUAAAUAAGUUGAGCCGACAUUUAAAAAUCGGGAGCUUUCACAUAGAAUUCAGAUUUCCAGCUUCUUCGGGAAAUGGGACCAUCUGGCGGAUGCAGACAGGAGCUGCGAAGCAGCCGCCCCUUCACACCGUCUGCACCUGCCCCCUGGCUCGUUUCCACGCCUGGCCCGACUCCUGAGGGUGAGGCCCCUCUCCCACCCCACAAGCUGCGCUGCCUCACAGUCACCUUGGUGACCCCAGAGCCCAGCAGGGCCCAGCACACAGUAGGUGCUCAGCCAGGGGCUGGGAGGUGGGAGGGACGGGAUGGAGGACGAAUGAACCUCAGUUUCCUCAUCUGAAGCAUGAGGCCCCGGGAGAGCUGGGUCGGACGAUUUCUCAGGGCCUUGCAGCUCUGAGGUUGACUCUGAAGGCCAAACGCCAGUGCAGAAAGAGGAGAGAGAGACAGGGAGAGACUCCGUGGGCUGCAGCAAUCAGGGAAGGCUUCCUGAAAGAGGGAGGCUGGAGCUGAGCUGUGAAGGCUGAGCCACACCCUGCCCAGGGCUAACCUGGCUAGGAAUGGAUGAUUCUAGAAGGGUGGGCGGGAAUGCACAAUUCGAAGGAGCGAGUUUGUAAUAGAGAUUUCAGCAGAAGGCAAGUUGGGGAGAGGUUUGGGGGUGGGCUGUGGGAAGUCUUCCCUGUGACCUUCUGUCACACCUCAUCCCAGGGGGCCCCCCUUCU